CAGUCGCCGCGGUAAUACGUAGGUGGCAAGCGUUGUCCGGAAUUAUUGGGCGUAAAGCGCGCGCAGGCGGAUAGGUCAGUCUGUCUUAAAAGUUCGGGGCUUAACCCCGUGAUGGGAUGGAAACUGCCAAUCUAGGGUAUCGGAGAGGAAAGUGGAAUUCCUAGUGUAGCGGUGAAAUGCGUAGAUAUUAGGAAGAACACCAGUGGCGAAGGCGACUUUCUGGACGAAAACUGACGCUGAGGAGCGAAAGCGCGGGGAGCGAACAGGAUUAGAUACCCCCGUAGUCCCUGUCUCUUAUACA
rnacentral:rRNA from 1 species